UACGAAGGGGGCUAGCGUUGUUCGGAAUUACUGGGCGUAAAGGGCGCGUAGGCGGUCCUGAUCGUCGGAUGUGAAAGGCCUGGGCUCAACCUGGGAACUGCAUCCGAUACGGCGGGACUGGAGUGUGGGAGAGGUUGGUGGAAUUCCCAGUGUAGAGGUGAAAUUCGUAGAUAUUGGGAAGAACACCGGUGGCGAAGGCGGCGACCUGGUCCUUUUACUGACGCUGAGGCGCGAAAGCGUGGGGAGCAAACAGG
rnacentral:rRNA from 1 species